AGGACCGUUCUCAAUGUAAGAACUUUGCCUCAGUUAUGAUUCUAAGUUUUUUGAUACAUUAUUUGCCUGAGUUCGGAUUCUAAGAUAUGUUAAAACAUUUUGCAGCCAGGAAUGUCACAAUCUGUUGUGAUAAAUGAGGGCACACCCAGUGACACUGAUCCAAUCACUCGGUUUCCCAUUCCAAAUGAAAUGGAGUUAAGGAAUGAGAAGAAAAAACAAAUGGCAACAAAAGGAUAGGGAGACGCAUCAAAGGUUAGGAAGAUGGAAUCCGAGCCAUUCAAGGCUCCACGAGGCAAAUGAAAACAGG
rnacentral:lncRNA from 1 species